GUGUCAGCAGCCGCGGUAAUACGUAGGGUCCGAGCGUUAAUCGGAAUUACUGGGCGUAAAGCGUGCGCAGGUGGUUUUGUAAGCCAGAUGUGAAAGCCCCGGGCUUAACCUGGGAACUGCAUUUGGGACUGCAAGGCUAGAGUACGGCAGAGGGGGGUAGAAUUCCUGGUGUAGCAGUGAAAUGCGUAGAUAUCAGGAGGAAUACCGAUGGCGAAGGCAGCCCCCUGGGUCGAUACUGACGCUCAUGCACGAAAGCGUGGGGAGCAAACAGGAUUAGAUACCCUGGUAGUCCACGCCCUAAACGAUGUCAACUAGUUGUUGGGGCCCUUACCGGCCUUAGUAACGCAGCUAACGCGUGAAGUUGACCGCCUGGGGAGUACGGUCGCAAGAUUAAAACUUAAAGGAAUUGACGGGG
rnacentral:rRNA from 1 species